rnacentral:rRNA from 1 species
AGCUCCAAUAGCGUAUAUUAACAUUGUUGCAUUUAAAAAGCUCGUAGUUGAAUUAAAUCAUAAAAUAAAAAUGGUUUUUGUUAAAAAAUACUAUAUUAGUUUAUGAAAGUUGUAAAAGUUAAAAUUAUAUUAAAUUAUAGUUUAAAUGAAUACAAAAUUUACUGUGAGAAAAUUAGAGUGUUUAAAGCAAAAAAAAAGUUUUGAAUACAUUAGCAUGGAAUAAUAAAAAAAUAUGAAAAAAAUUUUGUUGGUUAAAAAAAGAAAUAAAGAUUAAAAGGGUCAGUUGUGGGUAUUUAAAUUUCAUAGUCAGAGGUGAAAUUCUGGGAUUUAUGAAAGAUAAACGAAUGCGAAAGCAUUUACCAAGGAUGUUUUCA